GGAGAGAUAAACGCAAUGUACGCAUGUUAAAUUCGACCCGUGUCCGGACGUCUCGCGACGGACCAAUAUUCGUUUGGAUGCGUGCGGUCAUGUAUUGUACGUGGGUGUAUAAACUAUUCGGCUCGUAUGCGUUUUACACGGGGCGUCGUCGUGCACAGUAGUAUACAUUAUACAGGCAGUGUUUCAAUAGUAUAUCGCGUUCGCCCGAAGCUUACGCGGGAAACAAA